ACUGGUGUAGUUCAGUUGGUUAGAACAAACACAACUCUGAUAAAGUUGAGGUCGUUAGUUCGAGUCUAAUCACCAGUACCA
rnacentral:tRNA from 2 species